AAUGAACGCUGGCGGCAUGCCUAACACAUGCAAGUCGAACGACACCUUCGUGUCUAGUUGCUCUCGGGUGCGUCACGCGUGGGAACCUGCCCUUAUGUUCGGAAUAACUCUCCGUAAGGGGUGCUAAUACCGGAUAAUUUCUUCGGACCCAAGGUUUAUCGUACUUGUGUGGGCCGGCGUUCUAUUAGCAUGUUGGGAGGGUAAAAGCCUACCAAGGCUACGCUCCAUAGCUGGUCUGAGAGAAAGAUCAGCCACACUGGGACUGAGAAACGGCGCAGACUCCUGCGGGAGGCAGCAGUGGGGAAUAUUGGAAAAUGGGCGAAAGCAUGAUGGAGCAAGGCCGCGUGAGUGAUGAAGGCCUGAGAGAAGAAAAGCAGUUUUACACGGGAUGAUAAUGACAGUACCGGGAGAAUAAGCUCCGGCUAACUCCGUG
rnacentral:rRNA from 1 species